GUCGCACAUUCCGAGAGACUCCGGGCCAAAAGAAGUUCUGGGUUACUCGAUGGGAUGUGCGAUGUACUCCCAGGUGUCCGGCUAGAGGUAUAGCGUGCCCAAUCUGAAGAACCUCCAACCGGUAUUUCCUGGGAACCACUAGCUGUUACUUCUGGGAUUGUGAGUCUCAGUUAACCUGUUCCCAAAUAACCCUCUCUCCCUCCAAUCCCCCUUGCUCAGUCUCUGCCUUGGCCCUAUAGUACUGGAGGGACGGAUCUUCCCUUGUCUCCCUGCCAAACAUCCCAGUUCAAUGGGGUAAGUUUUAUGGUCGUAGUCGGGGUCUGUUGUCUUACCUGGAUCUUCCUGACUGGUGGGCUGGCUUCUGUAGUUCUGGCCUGCAGACGUGUAGUAACUGGGUUGGCUUCAGCUGGAUCAGUAGGGACGUAAGCGGAGGCCCAAAUCAUUCUCCAAUAGGACUUCAGCGGGUAACUGGUUCAUAACUCCCACGUUCACUGUGCCUGAUCCGGCUCCCCAAUCCAGGUGAACAGUUCCCCCAGCCACCCGUACAGCUACAGUUUGCCCAGUGUGUAUUAUCCUAAUAUUCUAGGAGGAAUAGACACGGCUUAGCAUCCAGCGACCCAGCGGGAUGUGGUACGGUGGAAGUUACAUGCCCACUCAGUGUAGGAGUCCCCUCCUCACUUCUUAGAUUCCCAGAAUCUCCGCGGUUAACUGCAUGCAGGGAGAGCAGAGCUUCCUUGAUGGUGUGGUAGUGGUGUAUAUCCUCGUAAGGUAUAGCCCGAAAGGCUUCAGCAGCUCUACCUGACAACUUGCCAG